ACACUCACACACACACUCACACUCACACACACACACACUCACACACACACUCGCGCACGCGCACCGCGUUUAUCUUCCAUUCACUGUGUGUUUAUGCUGAACUGCAGCAUCAUAAUGACUUUACACUGGGGGGGUUAGAUUAGCAUUAGCGUUGAUUAGCGUUAGCAUCUUGUGUUUUUGUAUUAAAGGUGUUUCGUUACAGCUGCGUUAAACACUAACUCUAACCACGGUGUUAAUGAGUGUGUUCUCUGUGUGACUACAGCGACCAGAGACACCGUCCUGCAGCACGACUCGCUCCAGCAACAGGAGUCUGAUGAAGAACAUGACUUUCUGAAGGAAGAACAACACGAGGAGAGAGGAGACACAGCAGCACACGACGGAAGUUGUCCUGAUGAAGGCACUUCGAGUAUAGAAGCUGAAAACGACGUCACUGUUGCUGAUGCAUCAUGGGAGAGCAGCGUGUUUGACUCUUCCCCACACAGCCUCCCGUACUCCGGAGCAGACAUCAGUGCAGGAACGUCCAUUAAUGAUUAUUUCAUGCACAGAGACGCCGUGUGUUCUUACGGCACCGAGGUCGGCUCUGUUAGUAACGCGACUUUUCCUGAAGGUCACUUCCCACACGCUGACGAGCGAAUCGUCUCUCAGUCCCACGCCGGCCCGUUUAAACCCGACAGGUUCGUGGCGUGUAAAUAUUGUGGGAAACAC